GCUGAACGCUGGCGGCGUGCCUAAUACAUGCAAGUCGAGCGAACAGACGAGGAGCUUGCUCCUCUGACGUUAGCGGCGGACGGGUGAGUAACACGUGGAUAACCUACCUAUACAACUGGGAUAACUUCGGGAAACCGGAGCUAAUACCGGGUAAUCUAUUGAACCGCAUGGUUCAAUAGGGAAAGACGGUUUUGCUGCCACUUAUAGAUGGAUCCGCGCCGCAUUAGCUAGUUGGUAAGGUAACGGCUUACCAAGGCGACGAUGCGUAGCCGACCGGGGAGGGUGAGGCGGCAGGCUGGGACUGAGGCACGGUCCGCGCUCCGACGGGAGGCAGCAGUAGGGACGCUUCCGCAAUGGGCGAACGCCGGACGGGGCAACGCCGCGUGAGUGAUGAAGGUCGUCGGACCGGAAAACUCUGUUAUGAGGGAAGAAGAAAUGUGUAAGUAACUAUGCGCGUCUUGUCUGGACCUAAUCAGAAGGCCACCGCUAAUUGCGUG
rnacentral:rRNA from 1 species